UACGUAGGGGCAAGCGUUGUCCGGAAUCAUUGGGCGUAAAGAGCGUGUAGGCGGCCAGAUAAGUCCGCUGUGAAAUCUCGAGGCUCAACUUCGAGCUGUCGGUGGAAACUGUCUGGCUAGAGUCCGGAAGAGGAGAAUGGAAUUCCUGGUGUAGCGGUGAAGUGCGCAGAUAUCAGGAAGAACACCCGUGGCGAAGGCGGCUCUCUGGGACGGUACUGACGCUGAGACGCGAAAGCGUGGGGAGCGAACAGG
rnacentral:rRNA from 1 species